UGAGGAAUAUUGGACAAUGGGCGCAAGCCUGAUCCAGCCAUGCCGCGUGCAGGAAGAAGCACCUAUGGUGUGUAACUGCUUUUGUACGGGAAGAAACACUCCUUCGUGAAGGAGCUUGACGGUACCGUAAGAAUAAGGAUCGGCCAACUCCGUGCCAGCAGCCGCGGUAAUACGGAGGAUCCAAGUGUUAUCCGGAAUCAUUGGGUUUAAAGGGUCCGUAGGCGGUUUAGUAAGUCAGUGGUGAAAGCCCAUCGCUCAACGAUGGAACGGCCAUUGAUACUGCUAGACUUGAGUUAUUAGGAAGAAAGUAGAAUAUGUAGUGUAGCGGUGAAAUGCUUAGAUAUUACGUAGAAUACCAAUUGCGAAGGCAGGUUACUGCUAAUGGAUUGACGCUGAUGGACGAGAGCGUGGGGAGCGAAC
rnacentral:rRNA from 1 species